UGGGGCUGAUUGACGUAGUCUGGUACUCCGUGUACCAGGUUGGAGUGGUUAGUCAUUAAGCAGACACUUGGGUCUCAGAAACAAGGGACCAAGAUGUGCUCAGCUGCCUAUUGUGGAGAACGGAGUUGGGGAUUUAUAACGUGGGGAAAGCUUAGCAUGAGGGCUUGGGUAGAAGACCCAGGCCGCAUCAAAAGCAAUUAAACACCACCUCCCAUUUUAGAGGGUUUGCUAAGGGCUAGGCCCGACGGAUCAGUGAUUUGUAAGCCUUGCCUCAAACCCUCACAACUCUGCUACCCCAUUUUACAGACAAGGGGGUGCAGAGGGCUUAAAGAAUUUACAAGAAGUCGCACAGUAGGUGGUGAUGCCCGACUUGAAUGCAGAGGCCAGAGCUCUUGAGUGCGACAGCUCUGCUUUUGUCAUCUGCAGUCGUCCCAGAGCUCUGUCCCUGGGUCCUGUUAAUUUUUGGCAGGUCUUAGAGGUGGAGGUGGAGCCAAGUCCAGAGGUCAAGGGUCUGGACCCACCUGGAGGCAGCUGUGUAUAGUUAGGUUGGACGUGGCUCAGCCCUUUCCCCAACCACAAGAAAGCAGCCUGGGAGGUCCCAAGCUUGCUGCUCUGGGGCAGGCAGCUCAGGCUUGCCCAGCUGGGGACGCUGGUUCUGAAGGUCAGAAGUCCGGGUGCCGUGUGACAGGAUUCUCCAUUCAGGGUCUCACAGGGCCCAAAUCAAGGACCAAGUGGCUUGCAUCUCCCCAGCUCCUCUGCUGCGGCCAACUGGAGGAAGCUCUGCUUCUAGAGGGUUCGCCUGAUUAAGUCAAAGCCUACCUAGAUAAUCUCCUGAUUUGGGACCUUAGUUACAUCUGCAAAAUCCCUUCAAGAGCCACUUGGAUUGGUGUUGAACUGAAUAGCUGGCCGGAGGAGUGUGUGUACCCAGGACCCAGAAUCUUGCGAGCCACCUAAGAAUUCUUCCUCCCACACCUGCCAAUGGCUAAUUGCCAUCAAUGUGGUGUUGAUUUGUCCCGAGUCCGAUAUGUGAUAAUAUGAUCAUGAUGAUUUUUGUUAUCUAAUCAAACACGUAUAUGGUGCUUAUUCUAUGUCAGGCACGGCUCUAAGGUUUUCACAAGUGUCAGCUCAUAUGAUGCAAUAACUCUUUGAUACGGUUGUGUUACUACGUCCAUUUUAGAGCUAACAACAUGGCCAGAGAGAGGUCAAGUAACUUCCCCAAGGUCCUACAGCUCUAUCGGGGACCGCUAGGUCCCUUAAUCAUAUCAAGCCUAGAUCAACAAGUUUGAAAGUGAUAAACGACGGUCCACGCGGGACCAAGAAGUGGGAUCCCUCAGCCUUGACUCCAUUCCCUUGGGAACCUGCUUACUAAGUACAAGGUCACUGGCAUGCCUGCCUGAGGGGUGAGGUGGGGAGUGCUGUUUGCUCUUAAGCGGCCUCCAGAGUCUUCUGUUAAUCUAGGUAUGUUGUGGAUGGAAUGUUUGUUCCCCCCAAAUGUUUGUGGGUCAUAUGUGGGAAUCCUAACCCUCAAGGUGAUGGUAUUAGAAGGUGGGCCCUUUAGGAGAUGAUUAGGUCGUGAGGGUGGAGUCUGCAUGAUGGGACGAGUGCUCUCAUAAAACAGACCCAGAGAGCUCUCUGGCCCCUCCUGCCAUGUGAACUUAUGGGGAGUAGAUGGCCCAUGGCCCAUCCCCAAACCAGAAAGCUGGUCCCCACCAGACACCAAUAUACUAGCACCUUAGCCUUAACUUCCUGGCUUCCGGAACUGUGAGAAAUACGCUUCUGUGUGUAAACCCCCUCCCCACCCCAGGCUAUGGCGUUUUUGUUAUAGCAGCCCAAAUGGACUUAAGACUAGGAGGGACAGUUUCAAUGAGACAGAUGUUUAACAGGAGUCUCCCCUAAAGUUUAUAAAAACCAAAAGGGAAACCAAGCAACGUGCUUAUGAAAUAUGGCUAAGUUUGCUACCGGUCCACCUCCUGGCCCAGCCCCUGGCCAGCUCCCCUUGAGCAGAGGACACAGGUCUCUUGCCUUAUCUCUCCUGACUUCCCUUAAGCAUUUAUCUGUGGCGUCUCCCCCAUGCCCAGGACAGUGAGGCCAAGACAGACAGUAGCCCCCUGGUCUGCUUUCUGCUUAAGGCCCACCUUCCACACUCUGGUUUCCUGUCUGAUUCCCUGCUGAUGUCACUGGGAGUGACCAGCCCCUACUCUCUAGAGCAGGGACUUACUCUGCAGUCAUAGGAGGUAGGUCUUAUCAGGUGGCUCAGUGACCCCAAAACGUUAGGACCAUUUAAAUCCGAGGCAAGGUAAGGGAGCCUUCUGUUAAUGUAAUCUGGAAGCUGCUUCUGGUGAGUCAAGAAUAGGUACGCCUAGGACUUCCCAUGUCUUACUCCAGUCCCACCCUUCAGGAUGUUUGGGACAGGACUAAGGGAGGCGUGUUCGUGUUUGCCUUCCGCCGUGGGCUCAUCUUGAUGAGGGACGUGGCAAAAAUCCUUGGCCCAGUCCUUUCAUUACAGAAAAAGGUCCAACCUUCAUGCUGUAUUCUCCACGAUGUGAUGGAGAAUGUCCUACUGCCUAAUACACCCUCCGAGACCUUUAGACUCCUUCAAGUGUAUAAAUUCUCACUGAUUUGACAAGAUUGAUUUUCUACCCUUUACUUUGCAAAAUCCAUUGUGAGGCCGAAGCAAGUAAAAUUGAUUUCCGCUCACUUUCCUCCCCACCCAAGGCCUCUUUGCUCACUUCAGGCGAUAUGAGAUUUUUCAACUUUCUAUACCCUUUUGAAAGCUUGGGGUUUUUUUGGGAGUACAGUGAAAUCAGGUGGCUCCAUGGGCCUGUGUGGGAAUUUUAAUGUGACGUUUUGGGUGUUUAAGCCUCCCAGGUUUAGAAGAGACCACUGUUGGAAACCUCAGUAUUUACAUUGUCAACGUUGGGCUAUGACCAUGGAAACUGGGCAUGGUAUCAUCUGCUUUUCAUCCAAUUCACAUUUUGUGCAUUUUACCUAAAUAAGAACAUGCUUCAGAAAGCCACCGGUGGAAAUUUAUUCCUAUGAGUUGCAUUGUACAGAAUCGAAUGUGCUGGGUGUGUGUUUGACUUCUCAACAUGUGAUACAAGGAACAUCCCGUUUAUUUCAGUUCUCUAAAGUGGAUUUAAUUGGUCCCAAACCACCAUCAGCCUGGCUGGAAAUUCAACCUAAGUCAUAAGGUGAACCCCACGACAGAGUUAAGCAGAGAUCUCAAGGGUCUGAUGUUGCCUAGAAUAUGGAAGGAGGGCCUCCUGGUCUUAGGUCCAUGUGGGCCCCAGUGGUGGUUGAUGUCCAGGCUUGGGUGGUUCCUUGGAGACAGGAGCCUCUGAGGCAACCACAAAGCCUAAUGAUCAGGCUGAGGCUGGGACCCCAGUGCCCAUGACCCAGCCUCCCUAGCGAGUACCUGUAGCAGCUGUUCUCACUCAGUGCUGUUGUGUGGGGAGAGGACAUGAACACCUGCUCCUGGCACCUGCCCCCAAACCACAGUCCCCCCUUAGUCUUGGGAUAUUUAUGUCACCUCAUGUCCACAAAUUCCACCCUAGAUCUCCCAGGGCUCUCUCCUCCGGCUCACCCUUC